AGCGGAGGAAAAAAAACCAACAGGGAUUGCCCUAGUAACGGCGAGUGAACAGGCAAGAGCUCAGAUUUGAAAGGCACUUUUGUGCCGUUGUAUUCUGAAGUUAGGGUCCUGAGAAACGAUGCUUAAGUCUUCUGGAAAGGAGCGCCAUGGAGGGUGAUAGCCCCGUCUAGCAUUGACCUCAUAUAGGAUCUUAACAUGGAGUCGAGUUGUUUGGGAAUGCAGCUCAAAUGGGUGGUAUGCUCCAUCUAAAGCUAAAUAUCUGCGAGAGACCGAUAGUAAACAAGUACUGUGAGGGAAAGAUGAAAAGAACUUUGAAAAGAGAGUGAAAAAGUACGUGAAAUUGUUGAAAUGGAAGGGUAGGCCGCUAACCAUGUAGAGCCGUGUUUGGGGGGAAGAUAAAUGCUGUAGAAUGUAGCUCCUCGGAGUAUUAUAGAUGCAGUUCAUAUUCCCACCCGAGCGCGAGGAUCUCAGGUUCUACUAAAUGGUGGUCUACCACUCGUCUUGAA
rnacentral:rRNA from 1 species